rnacentral:tRNA from 1 species
UGUAGCUCAGUUGGUAGAGUGCUUGCUUAGCAUGCAUGAAACCCUGAGUUUAACCCUCAGCA